ensembl:lncRNA
GGUUCUUCAGAUUGCAAUGAAACCACGAUCAGACUACUGCCCAUAUCACAAGGAUCGAUUCAGAACCAAACAUGAAUGUACACAUGAAUUCAUAUACAUUUGCACAUAACAUGGAAAUCACAAUCGGGGGAAGGUUUAAGCAUGCAACCAGGUUGUUCCUCUCACAUUGUUCCUACUUAUACCCGUGUUCUAUAGCUGACGGCAUUGCUGUCUAACACCGGGUGUCCUUGUACCAAGGUUGGUCCAGUGCAAGAGGGUUGCUUGGUGACUGCAGGCUAUUGACCCUGACCAAGCUGUGCGGUGGGUGACUGACCAGAGUCAGAAGAGCGGCAUGCCUGUCGUGUCACGAGAGGACGGGACUGACGCGCACGCCGUGAACUUUUGAGUGGUGGCACUAGUUUUAUAUUGACUUAAGCAUGUCAUUCCCAUUGAAUAGCUAUAAAUAAAUCUUAUUU